AAAGUCGUAACAAGGUAACCGUAGGUGAACCUGCGGUUGGAUCAUUAACAAAAUGAUAAAAGUCCGGACCAUAAAACGUCCUGGGCUUUUAUAAACACCUGUGAACUGUAAUUGUAUCUGGUGGGUUUAAAAGCCCACUGUCAAUAAUUUGAACUUUUAUAUCUUGAAUUAGUUUUUAAUUAAAAUUUAAUCUAAAACAACUUUUGACAACGGAUCUCUAGGCUCUC
rnacentral:misc_RNA from 1 species